AAAAAAAAUAGUAUUAUUCCCACUUGAUUGCGAUAGAGAGAACAAUAAAGGUAAAGAAGGUCUUUUCAUCUUCCUUCUUCCUCACCAUCCUCUCUCUCUCUCAGAAUGCUCAUCAUCAGAAACAAUCUCCUUUUCUAUCCUCUGAUACGUCUUUCUCUUCUAAUCUAUGGCCGCCGCCUCUGUGACAGAGAAGGAAGCUACGGUGGAUCCUUUUCUAGUCGAAGCUCUCCAGAAUCCUCGUCACCGUCUCACCAUUUUGCGGAUGGAGCUGGACAUUCAAAAGUUCUUCCAAAACCCUUCCCAGCUUCACUUCGAGUUCCCAGUUUCACGAUGGGGGUUUCUUGCAGAUGCCAAGAGGUCAUCAAGCUAAUCUACACUACGGGCAUCCGGCUAUGAGUCCCUUUAUUAAUAGCCCGGUGGGUUAUACACCGUGACCUAGCUCACCAGUUAUGAACUAUGCGCAGUCGUUGCACGGUCCAGACGCACAUCUUUUCAGGCAUCCCUCUGCAAGCAAUCCCUGAUGACUAAGUAGUGUUCUGAGUACAUCAAUGUCUGUAUGAAGAAAAAAGAAACAGAUUGUAUAGAUGUUAGCCUUUAGGAGCUCUCUGUUCUGUUCCAAACAAUUGGCUGCUUCUUUCUUAUAUAACAAAACAUCUACUCUCUCUCUU